UGGUGGAGUGAUUUGUCUGGUUAAUUCCGUUAACGAACGAGACCUUAGCCUGCUAAAUAGCUACGUUUAACUGCGGUUAUACGGGCAGCUUCUUAGAGGGACUGUUCGCGUCUAGCGCACGGAAGUUUGAGGCAAUAACA
rnacentral:rRNA from 1 species